rnacentral:lncRNA from 10 species
GGUGGCUGGGGAGUGUGUGUGCAACUGGAACACUCCUCUGACGCAUCGUGGGUUCCGUUCCCCGACUCACUUCUCAUUGCCUGGAAAGCAUAGGAAAAUUUCAGUUCCUGCCCUUGAUAGGCAGUCCAGCAAAACUUACAUAUGACUUUGCUGCCUGAAAUUCUUUCUGGAACAGGGCAAGGUAUAAAUAAAUAAAUAACAGGUUUUUUGGCCUUGGGAAGGUCCUUCACCCGCUCUGAACCUCAGUAUCCCCACCUGUAAAACAAAAGAACUGGACAUGUCACUGUAGUUUUCAAACUAUGCUUGAUAGCAGUUCCUUAGCGAAGAGCUUCCCAGCUGGUGUGCCUUGGCAUGAUGACCUCAUUAGCCCUCCCAGACAAGGCCUGUGGUGGGUGAGCCCCCAGGAGCGGUUCCAUUCACAUUUCCUCUCCUUACCUUUGCCUUAAAAAUGGCAUAAUUCAUCCGGGUGUGGUGGCUCAUGCCUGUAAUCCCAGAACUUCGGGAGGCCGAAGCUAGUGGAUCACAAGGUCAGGAGUUCGAGACCAGCCUGGCCAACAUGGUGAAACCCCCCCAUCUCUACUAAAAAUACAAAAAUUAGCCGGGCAUGGUGGAGCACAUCUGUAAUCCCAGCUACUCCGGAGGCUGAGGCAGGAGAAUUCGCUUGAACCCGGGAGGCAGAGGUUGCGGUGCGCCGAGAUCGCGCCACUGCACUCCAGCCUAGGCGACAGAGGAAGACUCUAUCUGAAAAAGAAAAGAGAAAAAAAAAAGGCAUCAUUUUCUAGGUACCGUGACAGGGAAUAGGUUGGGAAGCAAUGACUUCAGGACAGGGGGAUGUUGAGUGAAUGGGGCUCAGCCCUGUAGCCAGUCAACAUACAGAGGCUUAAAGCAAAUUUCCAAAAGGCAUCCCUUUUCCUUCAAGAUACUACCACCCUCUAUUGGACAACUGCCCUGUUAAUAACUGUACAAAUCUAUGAGUGUUACAGCUCUUUUAGAAUUUGUCUAGCAGGUUUUCCAAUCUUCACUGAAAAGCUUUAAAAAAUAAAGUAAAAUUAUGAUGGAGGUCAUGGUACCUCCCAGAGUUGUGCAGCUCAUGUUUUGCACAACCAUUUAGGGGUUCUAAUGGAGCUCUGGGAUCCUCUCUGCCACAGCCUUUUUGUUUUAUGUGCUGUAUGAUAUAUUAUGGUUCCAUGUAAGAUUAUGUAUGGAAAAGUUCAUCUGUCAAAAACAAAAUGAAAAAUCACUGGAUGAGAUGAUCUAUAAUUUCUCUUCCACUUUGGAUUUGUAUUACUUCAUAGAAAAUACCUCUUAGGCUGGGCAUGAUGGCUCAUGCCUGUAACCCUAGCACUUUGGGAGGCCAAGGUGGAAGGAUUGCUUGAGCUCAGGAGUUCAAGAGCAGCCUGGGCAACAUAGUGAGACCCCAUCUCUAUUAUAAAUUUUUAAAAUUUUAAAUAAAUAAAUUAAAAAGAAAAUUUAUGAAAUACCUCUUACGAUUUUUGAAUUAUUUGAAUAUUCUUCCUCUAGUGGUUAGUGGUCUUGCAUAUGUCAUUUGAUGCUGGUAUUCCUAAUGGAUUUCAAUGGUAAACCAAGAAAGGAGAGCACUGGGAGUCCAGGUUUUUGAUACUGACGGAUAGAGAUAAUGAUUACUAGAUGAGAGAUGCAGCUCCUGAUGGAAAGUAGCAUCAGACUCCUUACAGCAGAAUACUAAGGACUGCCUUCGGCUUUAAUUCAAAUACUCACUUGUCUCCUUUCUUGCUUUCAAACUUGACCUCAUUUAUCAGGCUGAGGAUCCAUGUUUUUGUCACAUUAUUGUCCUGCUAAAGCAAAUCUGAUGACAAAUUAAAAAUUCCAAGAGGACAGAAACUCUACACCUCCCUUACAUAGAAGAAUAGAUUUCUGAGGAUUUCCCACCCAUGUGCUAGGAGCUUUCCCCCUACUUCUCCAGCUUUCUAUGAUGAUAGC